GAUGAACGCUGGCGGCGUGCUUAACACAUGCAAGUCGAACGAAGCACUUUAUUUGAUUUCCUUCGGGACUGAUUAUUUUGUGACUGAGUGGCGGACGGGUGAGUAACGCGUGGGUAACCUGCCUUGUACAGGGGGAUAACAGUUGGAAACGGCUGCUAAUCCCGCAUAAGCGCACAGCAUCGCAUGAUGCAGUGUGAAAAACUCCGGUGGUAUAAGAUGGACCCGCGUUGGAUUAGCUAGUUGGUGAGGUAACGGCCCACCAAGGCGACGAUCCAUAGCCGAGCUGAGAGGGUGACCGGCCACAUUGGGACUGAGACACGGCGCAAACUCCUACGGGAGGCAGCAGUGGGGAAUAUUGCACAAUGGGCGAAAGCCUGAUGCAGCGACGCCGCGUGAGCGAAGAAGUAGUUCGGUAUGUAAAGCUCUAUCAGCAGGGAAGAUAAUGACGGUACCUGACGAAGAAGCACCGGCUAAAUACGUG
rnacentral:rRNA from 1 species